rnacentral:rRNA from 1 species
UACGGGGGGAGCAAGCGUUGUUCGGAUUUACUGGGCGUAAAGGGCGCGUAGGCGGCGCAACAAGUCACUUGUGAAAUCUAAAGGCUCAACCUUUAGCGGCCAAGUGAUACUGUCGUGCUGGAGUGCGGAAGGGGCAACCGGAAUUCUUGGUGUAGCGGUGAAAUGCGUAGAUAUCAAGAGGAACACCUGCGGCGAAGGCGGGUUGCUGGGCCGACACUGACGCUGAGGCGCGAAAGCUAGGGGAGCGAACGGG